AUCCAGCUGACGAGCCUCAAACAGGACGAAACGCGCGUCAAACAGGAU
rnacentral:hammerhead_ribozyme from 1 species